AUGGACCAAUCCAUCCCUUUUUCCCGUGCAUAUGCAUCGGACUCGGAUGACGAUGGUCCCGAUGAAGAAGUUGAUGAGGAGGGGUUCACGCCGAAGGAGGCCCAAGCAUUCAAGAAGGUAUUCGGGAAGGAUCACAAGACACCAUUGUUCAAGGAUCUUAGUCUCGCAGAUGAAGCCGUUGUGGAUGGUGGCAAAUGCAUAUCUCUUGGAGCUAGGCCAAUUUCUCACCGUGAUUUGGAAGACGGCAAGAAUGGGAUAUAUCCCGGUUGUGAGUUUGAAUCCUUCUUGGAAUUGAAGAUGUGGCUUGACAACUAUUCGGUUACACAUUAUCGUCCACAUAAAGUGGCCAACUCGGACGUCAAUGUGCGUUACACGGUCAAAUGUGAAGUGCCAAGAUGUCCAUGGAUUGUGCAUGCGAGGCCAUGGAAAGGAGGUCCCACUUGGCGCAUAGUGAGUUGUCUACCAACUCACAUGUGCCGGCACAAGAAUGCGGAUGGCGAGCUUGUGUACCAACAACACAGAUAA
rnacentral:rRNA from 1 species